UUCUAUUCUUCCAAAGUUUUGACUUAUUUAUUGCAUAAUUUUUUCUUAUAAAGAAUCGUUAAAUCUUAUUCUAUUUGAUGAUGAAAAAACUUUUGGGACAAUUUGAUAAAAAGAUAGAAAAGAGGUAGAAGAAAAUAGAGGUUAUGGUUGACGGUCGACACGUCAAUUCAAUUCAUUUCAUUUUUUUUUUUUUUCUUCGAUUGCCCAUGGAUGGAUCGAGGAAACCAUUGAAGCGGAUUUAAAAUAAUGCAGGAGUCCGUCCCAUCUGUAGAGAUCGUUCCAUUUAAAUAGUGUAUGAUACACAUUGUUAGAUACAACAAAUAUCCAGAGCAGGGGGACGAAGACAUUGAUAGAAACCAGAUAUGGCACAAGUAGCAGUUCACAGAGAAUGGAUUUCAUUGUACGCAAUCAAGUGAAUACGAUCGACAAUGCAGAGAGCAAUGAAUGAAUUGAUGAGAGUUAUUAUUAGUUACGAGCAUGAUAAUCAGCUCCAUCCUGAAACAGAUGAAAAGCUUCCUCCUCGGCUGCUUCCUCUUCCUCAGCUUUCUUCUGCAAUUCAUCGUAAGACAUCGCGACAAUAGCAAGAAUCAAGUUGACGAGAUAAAACGAGCCAAGAAAAAUGAUCACGAUGAAGAACAACAUAUGCCAUGGGCCGGCCGAUCUAAGCACCAAUUGGUACAGAUUUUCCCAAUAAUCUUGCGUCAUCAGACGAAAGGCGGAUAACAAUGCCCAGCCGAAGGUAUCGAAACUCGUGUAACCGUAAUUCGGAUUUUCACCGUAUCCUUGUAAACACGUGUAACCAGGAAGGCACUGCCUGUAUAUCAAUAAAUUGUAUCCAUUAGAUCCAAUGAUUUAUCACGAUGAUAUAUAACAAAAAUUUGUAUUAUAUAUAAGAA